GUCCGACUGGCAUGGGCACGAUGUCACCGGGCCCAGGGACGAAACCGCGCGUAUCUCUGUUAACAACAAAAAUACACUCAAGCAUCAGAAAAGAAAACG